rnacentral:rRNA from 1 species
CACAUGCAGUCGAACGGAGCUGAGAGGAGCUUGCUUUUCUUAGCUUAGUGGCGAACGGGUGAGUAACGCGUGAGUAACCUGCCCUGGAGUGGGGGACAACAGUUGGAAACGACUGCUAAUACCGCAUAAGCCCAUGGCCCGGCAUCGGGCUGAGGGAAAAGGAUUUAUUCGCUUCAGGAUGGACUCGCGUCCAAUUAGCUAGUUGGUGAGGUAACGGCCCACCAAGGCGACGAUUGGUAGCCGGACUGAGAGGUUGAACGGCCACAUUGGGACUGAGACACGGCCCAGACUCCUACGGGAGGCAGCAGUGGGGAAUAUUGCACAAUGGGGGAAACCCUGAUGCAGCGACGCCGCGUGGAGGAAGAAGGUCUUCGGAUUGUAAACUCCUGUUGUUGAGGAAGAUAAUGACGGUACUCAACAAGGAAGUGACGGCUAACUACGUGCCAGCAGCCGCGGUAAAACGUAGGUCACAAGCGUUGUCCGGAAUUACUGGGUGUAAAGGGAGCGCAGGCGGGAGAACAAGUUGGAAGUGAAAUCCAUGGGCUCAACCCAUGAACUGCUUUCAAAACUGUUUUUCUUGAGUAGUGCAGAGGUAGGCGGAAUUCCCGGUGUAGCGGUGGAAUGCGUAGAUAUCGGGAGGAACACCAGUGGCGAAGGCGGCCUACUGGGCACCAACUGACGCUGAGGCUCGAAAGUGUGGGUAGCAAACAGGAUUAGAUACCCUGGUAGUCCACACCGUAAACGAUGAUUACUAGGUGUUGGAGGAUUGACCCCUUCAGUGCCGCAGUUAACACAAUAAGUAAUCCGCCUGGGGAGUACGACCGCAAGGUUGAAACUCAAAGGAAUUGACGGG